rnacentral:tRNA from 1 species
GUGGCCAUAGCUCAAUUGGUUAGAGCACCAGAUUGUGGAUCUGGGGGUUGUGGGUUCAAGUCCCAUUGGCCACC